CCUACGGGGGGCAGCAGUGAGGAAUAUUGGUCAAUGGGCGUAAGCCUGAACCAGCCAAGUCGCGUGAGGGAUGAAUGUUCUAUGGAUUGUAAACCUCUUUUAUAAGGGAAUAAAGUGUGGGACGUGUCCCGUUUUGUAUGUACCUUAUGAAUAAGGAUCGGCUAACUCCGUGCCAGCAGCCGCGGUAAUACGGAGGAUCCGAGCGUUAUCCGGAUUUAUUGGGUUUAAAGGGUGCGUAGGUGGCCUUUUAAGUCAGCGGUGAAAGUCUGUGGCUCAACCGUAAAAUUGCAGUUGAAACUGGCAGUCUUGAGUAUAGUAGAGGCAGGCGGAAUGCGUGGUGUAGCGGUGAAAUGCUUAGAUAUCACGCAGAACCCCGAUUGCGAAGGCAGCCUACCAAGCUGUGACUGACACUGAUGCACGAAAGCGUGGGGAUCAAACAGGAUUAGAUACCCUAGUAGUC
rnacentral:rRNA from 1 species